rnacentral:rRNA from 1 species
AUACGGAGGGUGCGAGCGUUACUCGGAGUCACUGGGCGUAAAGCGUCCGCAGGCGGUCGGGUAAGUCGGGUGUGAAAGCCCCGGGCUCAACCUGGGAAGUGCACCCGAUACUGCUCGACUCGAGUGCGGGAGAGGAUGGCGGAAUUCCCGGUGUAGCGGUGAAAUGCGUAGAGAUCGGGAGGAACACCAGUGGCGAAGGCGGCCAUCUGGCCCGCAACUGACGCUGAGGGACGAAAGCGUGGGGAGCAAACAGGAUUAGAAACCCCAGUAGUCC